AGGACGAACGCUGGCGGCGUGCUUAACACAUGCAAGUCGAACGAGGUCCAACCACUCGCAAGAGUGGGGAAGACCUAGUGGCGAACGGGUGAGUAACACGUGAGGAACGUGCCCCGGAGACCGGGAUAACAGCGGGAAACCGCUGCUAAUACCGGAUACCUUCUUUGAUCGCAUGGUCAGCUGAAGAAAUGGAUUCCGCUCCGGGGAGCGGCCUCGCGGUCUAUCAGCUUGUUGGUGGGGUAACGGCCUACCAAGGCUUCGACGGAUAGCUGGUCUGAGAGGACGAUC
rnacentral:rRNA from 1 species